GUCCUUCCUUCCCUAGAGCCCCGCUGCCCAGCCUGGGUUGGGGCCGCCCCGCCCCCGUCGCGCUCUCGGAUCUGCCGAAUCCGGAUUUAACAUUUGGGCCACGCACUACACGUCUCAGAACAAGGAUGGAAGACCCAGGCCCUGCCCCUUGGCAGCCCCCAGACCAUCCCAGGACACUGACCAGUGACCAGUGACAGAAGCUGCUCUGAGGUGAGCCAGGUACAGGGG
rnacentral:lncRNA from 1 species